rnacentral:rRNA from 1 species
AUCGAACGCUGGCGGCAUGGCUAAAACAUGCAAGUCGAACGCGAAAGCACUUCGGUGCAAGUAGAGUGGCGAAAGGGCGAGUAACGCGUACCUAACGUGCCCCCGGGCGAGGGAUAGCAGCGGGAAACUGCUGGUAAUACCUCAUAACCCCGUCAUGUCGCAUGGCAUGGCGGGCAAAGGCUUGCCACCCGGGGAUCGGGGUGCGUCCUAUCAGCUUGUUGGUGAGGUAACGGCUCACCAAGGCCAAGACGGGUAGCGGGUGUGAGAGCAUGACCCGCCGCAUCGGGACUGAGACACUGCCCGGACUCCUACGGGAGGCUGCAGUAACGAAUAUUCCGCAAUGCGCGAAAGCGUGACGGAGCAAUGCCGCGUGUGGGAUGAAGCCCCUAGUGGUGUAAACCUCUGUCAGGGUUCAGGAAUUUUGACCAGACCCAGAGGAAGGACCGGCUAACUCUGUGCCAGCAGCCGCGGUAAUACAGAGGGUCCAAGCGUCGAUCGGAAUCACUGGGCUUAAAGGGUGCGCAGGCGGACGGGCAAGUGCGUUGUGAAAUCCCAUGGCUCAACAUGGAAUUGCUUCGCAGACUGCUCGUCUGA